rnacentral:rRNA from 12 species
UCAGGAUGAACGCUAGCGGCAGGCCUAACACAUGCAAGUCGAACGGUAACAGGAAAAAGCUUGCUUUUUUGCUGACGAGUGGCGCACGGGUGCGUAACGCGUAUACAAUCUACCUUUUACAGGGGGAUAGCCUUUAGAAAUGAAGAUUAAUACCCCAUAGUAUCUAAAUUUCGCAUGUUAUUUAGAUUAAAGUUUCGGCGGUAAAAGAUGAGUAUGCGUUCUAUUAGCUAGAUGGUGUGGUAACGGCACACCAUGGCAACGAUAGAUAGGGGCCCUGAGAGGGGGAUCCCCCACACUGGUACUGAGAC